rnacentral:rRNA from 1 species
GACGAACGCUGGCGGCGUGCCUAAUACAUGCAAGUCGUGCGGAACCUUCGGGUUCAGCGGCGGACGGGUGAGUAACACGUGGGCAAUCUGCCCGACAGAUUGGGAUAACGCUUGGAAACGAGUGCUAAUACCGGAUAUGCUCUUGGCUCGCAUGAGCCGAGAGGGAAAGCUGCUCUUGCAGCACUGUCGGAUGAGCCCGCGGCGCAUUAGCUAGUUGGUGAGGUAACGGCUCACCAAGGCGACGAUGCGUAGCCGACCUGAGAGGGUGACCGGCCACACUGGGACUGAGACACGGGCCAGACUCCUACGGGAGGAAGCAGUAGGGAAUCUUCCGCAAUGGGCGCAAGCCUGACGGAGCAACGCCGCGUGAGUGAUGAAGGCCUUCGGGUUGUAAAACUCUGUCUUCUGUGAAGAACAAGCCUAUGAAGAGAACGCUUAGGCCCUGACGGUAACAGAGGAGGAAGCCCCGGCUAACUACGUGCCAGCCGCCGCUGUAA